rnacentral:rRNA from 1 species
GGUUGAUCCUGCCAGUAGUCAUAUGCUUGUCUCAAAGAUUAAGCCAUGCAUGUCCAAGUUUAAGCUUUUAAACGGUGAAACUGCGAACGGCUCAUUACAACAAUUUCAACCUACAUGAUAGUGAACUGCUAUACGGAUACCCGUGGCAAAUCUGCAGCUAAUACGUGCGUCAGGGCUCUUUCGGGAGCUGCAUUUAUUAGAUCUAAGCCAACCCGGGCGACCGGUAGGUGGUGAUUCAUAGUAACUGUGCGAAUCGCUUCGGCGAUGGGUCAUUCGGAAUUUUGCCCUAUCAA